GCCUGUCUAGCUCAGUCGAUAGAGCAUCAGAGUUUGAAUCUUAAAGUCGCGAAUUCAUUUAUGCUUCGCGGCUGGCA
rnacentral:tRNA from 1 species